rnacentral:rRNA from 1 species
GAUGAACGCUAGCUACAGGCUUAACACAUGCAAGUCGAGGGGAAACGACAUCGAAAGCUUGCUUUUGAUGGGCGUCGACCGGCGCACGGGUGAGUAACGCGUAUCCAACCUGCCCACCACUUGGGGAUAACCUUGCGAAAGUAAGACUAAUACCCAAUGAUAUCUCUAGAAGACAUCUGAAAGAGAUUAAAGAUUUAUCGGUGAUGGAUGGGGAUGCGUCUGAUUAGCUUGUUGGCGGGGUAACGGCCCACCAAGGCAACGAUCAGUAGGGGUUCUGAGAGGAAGGUCCCCCACAUUGGAACUGAGACACGGUCCAAACUCCUACGGGAGGCAGCAGUGAGGAAUAUUGAUCAAUGGACGAGAGUCUGAACCAGCCAAGUAGCGUGCAGGAAGACGGCCCUAUGGGUUGUAAACUGCUUUUAUAAGGGAAUAAAGUGAGUCUCGUGAGACUUUUUGCAUGUACCUUAUGAAUAAGGACCGGCUAAUUCCGUG